AACGGCUGUUUGCCACAGUGAGCGAUGAUUAUCAUAGCCCACCGGGUAGACAGUUGUUC
rnacentral:pre_miRNA from 1 species